GUGCUGUUUGCUCUCUGUGGCAAGGUGGUUGGCUUCAAGCUAGGAUUCCUUUGAGCCCAUGGCAGCAUCAGUGAAACCAAAAAGUUCAGUAGGAGGCAACCAUGGAUGUCCUGCAGCUCAUCUCUCAUCUGGCUGGCUAGAGACUCUUGUGCUUCAUGCCCAAUGAGGGCUGUAUGCAGGCUGUGGAGAGCAGGAGUGCCU